UAAUAGUAAAAAAAAUAUUAUUUAUUUUUUUUAUUUUUUUAUUAGGUUGUUAACAAUUUUUUUUUAUGAGUUUGAUCCUAGCUUGGAAUUAACGCUAAUUAGACGCAUGACACAUGCAAAUUAUAUAUAAUUUUUUCUAUAAAUUAUAUAGUGUCAAGGUGAGUAAAAUAUUUUAACUAAUUGCUAUUUAUUGUAAAUCAAUAAUAAAUUUUUUAUAAAGAGAAUAAUCGAUAGCAAAGGUUAUUAUAAGGAAUUAAGUAUUAGCAUUAUUGCUAGCUGAUAAUUUUUAGCUGGUUUGAGAGAUUGAUCAGCCACAUAAGGGUAUGAAAACCACCCUAUCUAUUCGACAGCAGUGGGGAAUUUUGGACAAUGUAUGGAAAUACGAUCCAGCGAACUAAUGGAAAUGAAGAAGAUUUUAAAAUUGUAAAGUUUAUUCGCAAAUUUAAAUUAUGCUAAAAUUUGAAAAGAAAUCAUGGCCAAUACAUGUGCCAGCAGCCGCGGUAAUACAUGAGUGAUGAGCGUUAUUCGUAUUUGCUGAGUGUAUAGUAUGCAUAGAUGAUACCAAUAUUAAUAUAUAACUAUUAUUGUAGACAAUAAUUAUAUAUUUACAUUGGUUAUAAAAAAUUAAAGAAAAACUAUUAUAAUUUAUAAUUUAGCGAUUAAAUGCAUAAAAUUUAUAUAUAAUUCCAAUAACGAAAGUUUUUAGUUUUUUUUAAUUUUUAUUGAUGCAUUAAAGUAUAGGUAAUAAAAAGGAUUUGGGACCCUUGUAAUCUAUACCGUAAAAAAUGGGUAUUUUAAUUAUUUUUAUAAUUAUAAAUUAACGUAAAAAUACCCUACUUGGAGAGUAUAAUCGCAAGAUUGAAACUUAACAGAAUUGGCGGGAAUUUGUUCGAACGGUGGAACAUGUGGUUUAAUGCGAUAAUCCACGAAAAACCUUACCAAUAUUUAAAAUUAAGUAAAAUUAAAAUAUUAAUUUAUUAUUAAGUUAACUUAAUUUCGGUACUGCAUGGCUGUCGUCAGUUCGUGUUGUGAAAUGUAGAAUUAAGUUUUUACUACGAACGUAACCUAAUUUCUAUUUAUUUUAGAUACUUUUUGUAUUUUUAACUAAUAGAUACUUUAAUUGAUCAUUCAAUUUUUUUGGUUAUAGCUGAAGUCAAGUCCUUAUGGUCUAUAUAUAUUGGGCUACACACGUGUUACAAAGGCAAAAACAAAAAGUAACGAAUACGUAAGUAAGAGUAAAUCUUAAAAAAUUGCCCUAGUUCAGAUUAUUUUAUGUAACUCUAAAAUAUGAAGUUGAAAUCGUUAGUAAUUGUAUGUAAUUAUAAUACAGUGAACUAAAAGUCAAAUUUUGCACACACUGCCCAUCACGCUCGAAAAAUUUUACUAAAUUGAAAAUAAAAUAAAAUAAAUUUUAAGUAACCUUAAAUAUUUAGUUUUAUUUGUUGUAAUUUAUUAAAGUGAUUUGAGUGAAGUUGACACAAGGUACCAGUAGGGGAACCUGUUGGUGGAAUAAAUU
rnacentral:rRNA from 1 species